CCUACGGGAGGCUGCAGUGAGGAAUAUUGGUCAAUGGGCGCGAGCCUGAACCAGCCAAGUCGCGUGAGGGAAGACGGCCCUACGGGUUGUAAACCUCUUUUGCCGGGGAGCAACGGGCGCCACGUGUGGCGCCACUGAGAGUACCCGGAGAAAAAGCAUCGGCAAACUCGGUGCCAGCAGUCGCGGUAAUAGGGAGGAUGCGAGCGUUAUCGGGAUGUAUUGGGUUUAAAGGGUGCGUAGGCGGAGCGUUAAGUCAGUGGUCAAAUUGAGGGGCUCAACCCCUUCCCGCCAUUGAAACUGGCGCUCUUGAGUGGAAGAGAGGGAUGCGGAAUGCGUGGUGUAGCGGUGAAAUGCAUAGAUAUCACGCAGAACCCCGAUUGCGAAGGCAGCAUGCCGGCUUCCUACUGACGCUGAGGCGCGAAAGCGUGGGGAUCGAACAGGAUUAGAUACCCCAGUAGUC
rnacentral:rRNA from 1 species